AACAAACACAUAUGAAUGCAAAGUGUGCACAAGCCUAGGGUAGUUCUGGGAAUAUUUGGGAAUUGUUGUAGCUGGGUCCAGCCAAUCAGAAUGGACAACUCUUUCUCCAUUGGUGUGGCCAUGCCAGUAUUUACUGACUCAUUAUCUAUCCUCAAAAAACCAACAGUGAAAAGAUUAUGAGAUUGAUUUUUCUUUUCUCAUUUUAGUCUUUAAAAAAUUUUUGUGCCUUUCUCUGUUUUCUAAAUUCUGUACACUGAGGGGGGUGUGUUUGGGAUUGUGGAGAUUUUGUCUUCACUGAAGUCAUACUACAUUGACAACACACGUACAGAGAAUGAACGUAUCUUUACUAUUGGUGGAACUAAAAACAGCUUUUACUUACAGAUCUCCUUCCUGGUCAUUAGGAGCAGCAUCCUGACGUUAGAAGAGAGGCAGAGAUUAAAGUGAAGAUAGCGGAUAAUCGGG
rnacentral:lncRNA from 1 species